CUUAAAACUUCAUGUUACUCUUUCCCUGGCGGCUCCCAAAGAUGGCGGAGGUGCAGGUCCUGGUGCUCGAUGGUCGAGGCCAUCUCCUGGGCCGCCUGGCAGCCAUCGUGGCUAAGCAGGUACUCCUGGGUCGGAAGGUGGUGGUCGUUCGCUGCGAGGGCAUCAACAUUUCUGGCAAUUUCUACAGAAACAACUUGAAGUACCUGGCUUUCCUCCGCAAGCGGAUGAACACUAACCCUUCCGAGCCCCACCACUUCCGGGCCCCACCACUUCCGGGCCCCCAGCCGCAUCUUCUGGCGUUCCGGGCGAGCCGUGCUGCCGCACAAGACCGCGCGAGGCCAGGCCGCCUUGGACCGCCUCAGGGUGUCUGACGGCUUCCCACCGCCCUACGACAAGAAAAAGCGAGUGGUGCUUCCUGCGGCCCUCAAGGUCGUGCGUCUGAAGCAGACAAGGAAGUUUGCCUAUCUGGGGCGCCUGGCUCACGAGGUUGGUUGGAAGUACCAGGCAGUGACAGCCAACCUGGAGGAGAAGAGGAAGGAGAAAGCCAAGAUCCAUUACCGGAAGAAGAAACAGUUCAUGAGGCUACGGACACAAGCCGAGAAGAACGUGGAGAAGAAAAUUGACAAAUACACAGAGGUCCUCAAGACCCAUGGACUCCUGGUCUGAGCCCGAUAAAGACUGUUAAUUCCUCAAAAA